CAUCGCGAGGUGUGGCUGGAGGAAGUCCAAUGCAAAGCUGCGGGGCGACGUACAGGAACUCCAUCUGAGGUGUGGUACAUCCGGGACGAGUUGGCACGUGACAACGAAGUCCUCCAUUUGCGAUUGGGGUGUGCUUUAUAAAUGGAGCGUUUACGCAGUGACAGUUCA
rnacentral:ncRNA from 1 species